UGGAAAGAUCAUUUUUCUCUUCAUCCUUCAGGACUGAAUUUAAGUCUGGCUCUAGGUAUCUCUGUCAGUUGGUGAAUUUAUUGCACUAAGAGGCUUUUUCCCAAAGUUUCAUUUCCAUUUGGCUUUGGUAAGCUGCUACAGAAUCGAGGUCUUUUACUGGAUUCAGAGGAAAAUUGUCCUUAAGGAAAAAUAUUUUCAUCUACAUAUAAAAAAGCAGUGGUAAGUAGAAAGUUAGGGCUAACAGUAGGUGCAGAUAAAAGGAGAAUUCUAAAAUCUUUAUUAAUUCAGAGAUUUAGCUCUUUUGGCAGUUAUACCAGUAUUCUUUAAACCUUUCUUGUUUUUAGAAAGCUGAGGUUUUUCUGGACAUAAUAGUUUCAGGAGUAUUUAGUGUAGGAAAGAAGAAAAAUAUCAUUUUAUCCCUUGAGAGACAGAGUAGCAGUACCAUGUCCCCCUUGGUUUUGGUAGACUGGUUUCUGGACCCAGUCUGUUGAUUCAGUUCCUCGAGUAACGACAGUAUUACCAGUUGCAUGUUCUAGUCGUACUUAGAGGUGUUUCUUUUCAUUGUCUGUAUCCAUUUUUUUUUCCUUUUUGAAAGGUGAAAUAUGUAACUGGUAAAUACACAUUUUAGAGAUUUACCCAAGGUGACUAACAUUUUUGUCUUUAUUCUGUUCUCUAAUAAAAGUUCUAUCUCUAGGAAAAAGAACUACAUGGAAAGUCCACGUUUGUCCAAUGCUCUCAUGGAACAGUCAGCUUUUCACACUGUUAUGCCAAGAGCACAAGAGGAAGAGGCCAAAGUUUCAGCUUCCUCUCAGGGUCAGGAUCUUUUGGACCGGGUUUCACCACUGGAGCAAGUACAAGGUCCUGAACUAUUAGAAGUUAUUUCUUAAUGCAGACCAUUUAAUUUCUUUUUUUUGUUUCCCUUUCUUUGGACUGGUAUUUAUCUUAUGCUAUUGUGUGAAAAACUGAAAAUGUUUUGGUUUGUUAUAUUCUCAAUAAUCUAAUAUUUAUAGUACUUUCAUAGGGAAUGGCCUCUUCACUGAUCUUAUAACUGUUUUCACUGAUUAAGCUGAAACCUCCUUUCCUUUGCUGUCAGGUGACCACAAUAUGCUUUAUGUUCAAGACAAGAAGCUUGUUUCUACCACACCUCUCACUUUUUGUCCCAACAGUUAAUUGCUCUCAUCAAGUCAUUUUUGUUCUUAAACUUAUUUUUAUGUAACUGGUGAAAUAUGAACUCUAAAAGAAAUUAUUGUUUCCAAGAAAAUCAAGGUGAAUACUUUGGAAAGACUAAAAAGUGAGUCAUUUAAAAAAUUGCUACCAGCUGGCUAUGAUGGAACACACCCAGCAGUUUGGGAAGGUGAGGCAGGAAGACAACAGCCUCAGUGACUUAGUGAGACCCUGUCUCAAGAUAAAAAUUAUCAAGGAUUAAGGAUGUAGCUCAGUUUAGAGCACCCCUGUGUUUAGUCCUAGUUCAAGGAGUGGGGGGAACUUAGAUAUUGGGGGGAAACUAUAAGAAUGUG
rnacentral:lncRNA from 1 species